UACAACCACACCACCAUGCAGUUAGCGCACUCCUUUCAACAGGAAAUGUAGCCUUCGUUAGUUUACAGACGCACCUGAAUCUACCUCAGGUUACACUACACCUGGAUUCUAGACAACCUUGAUAUGAGUGAAAUAUGGAAUCCUACCCGUCACUGUCGAAACGCGUCUUUCCAGUCCGCCUGUCUCUAUUUGAGGUCCAGAUUCUAUCUGUCCAUCUGUUAUGAAGUAAAGGAAAACAAUCGAUGUCGGUGAGCAGAGCUGGGAGGGUCGCCAGCGACAUGGGGCACACCUGGGCCCGGGUGUGUCCCGGGAUAAAUACACCUCUUCCCCAUUCAUCGAGGAGACUCUCUCCAUGCAGACACAAUGAUAGAUUUUGGUUGUGGCAUUUUUGUGGCCGCUUUAUUUGUUUGCUUUGGCACCUUUCAACACCACUCAUUAUCACAUCUAUGCACGCAUCCACUCACUUACACUGCUGAUUACUGACUACACACACCAUUGUUAAUUGUAUUUAGGUUACUUCAGUUAAGAAAAUAUAUUUUUGUUAUUCCUUACCUCCACGUUGUCUCCCUUUUUGUUACGGACUCCGAGCCGUAACAAAAAAAGUUACACUUUAAAAGGCAACAAUGUUUCACACACAAGUUAUUUUCAAUGAUAAAAAACACAGUUUCACUCACCAGAUGAUAA